GACGAACGCUGGCGGCGUGCCUAAUACAUGCAAGUAGAACGCUGAAGGAGGAGCUUGCUUCUCUGGAUGAGUUGCGAACGGGUGAGUAACGCGUAGGUAACCUGCCUGGUAGCGGGGGAUAACUAUUGGAAACGAUAGCUAAUACCGCAUAACAGCAAGUGUUGCAUGACAUUUGCUUAAAAGGUGCAAUUGCAUCACUACCAGAUGGACCUGCGUUGUAUUAGCUAGUUGGUGGGGUAACGGCUCACCAAGGCGACGAUACAUAGCCGACCUGAGAGGGUGAUCGGCCACACUGGGACUGAGACACGGCCCAGACUCCUACGGGAGGCAGCAGUAGGGAAUCUUCGGCAAUGGACGGAAGUCUGACCGAGCAACGCCGCGUGAGUGAAGAAGGUUUUCGGAUCGUAAAGCUCUGUUGUAAGAGAAGAACGAGUGUGAGAGUGGAAAGUUCACACUGUGACGGUAUCUUACCAGAAAGGGACGGCUAACUACGUGCCAGCAGCCGCGGUAAUACGUAGGUCCCGAGCGUUGUCCGGAUUUAUUGGGCGUAAAGCGAGCGCAGGCGGUUAGAUAAGUCUGAAGUUAAAGGCUGUGGCUUAACCAUAGUACGCUUUGGAAACUGUUUAACUUGAGUGCAAGAGGGGAGAGUGGAAUUCCAUGUGUAGCGGUGAAAUGCGUAGAUAUAUGGAGGAACACCGGUGGCGAAAGCGGCUCUCUGGCUUGUAACUGACGCUGAGGCUCGAAAGCGUGGGGAGCAAACAGG
rnacentral:rRNA from 1 species